GAUGAACGCUAGCUACAGGCAUAACACAUGCAAGUCGAGGGGCAGCAGGGCGUAGCAAUACGCCGCUGGCGACCGGCGCACGGGUGAGUAACACGUAUCCAACCUGCCCUCAACUCAGGGAUAGCCUUUCGAAAGAAAGAUUAAUACCUGAUGGCAUAGCGGUCCCGCAUGAGACCUCCAUUAAAGAAAUUCGGUUGAGGAUGGGGAUGCGUUCCAUUAGCUUGUUGGCGGGGUAACGGCCCACCAAGGCUUCGAUGGAUAGGGGUUCUGAGAGGAAGGUCCCCCACAUUGGAACUGAGACACGGUCCAAACUCCUACGGGAGGCAGCAGUGAGGAAUAUUGGUCAAUGGACGAGAGUCUGAACCAGCCAAGUAGCGUGAAGGAUGACGGCCCUACGGGUUGUAAACUUCUUUUAUAUGGGAAUAAAGUGAGCCACGUGUGGCUUUUUGUAUGUACCAUACGAAUAAGGAUCGGCUAACACCGUGCCAGCCGCCGCGGUAA
rnacentral:rRNA from 1 species